GCCCCGGACCGGAGGCUGCUCCCAGCGCGGCGCGGAGCCCGAGGCGCUCAGAGCACAGGAGCAUUUGGAGUUGUAAAGACCCAUGAGGAUCAUCAAGUCAAAUGAGAAAUAAUUAGCCUAGCUGGACGUUCAACACAGAAUCUUGGCCUUCUCAGGACCCUGCUCCAAGCACCUGAGCCAAUCUCAGGUUCAUGAUGAAGGUCCUGCCUGGGAUGGGAAUGGCUGCUGGCAGCAAGGGAAUUCCUGUACAAAUGCAGCUCAUUCUCUCCUGCUAAUGCUGCUUUACACACCAGCCCCUGCAAUGGCUGUAGGGUGGAACUGGCUGGCACCUAACAUGACAGCUGGCAGUUCCUGGGAAUGGUGGCACAGGCUGUUUGCAGAGGGGCUCAGGCAGUAACUCCCCGGUUCUGAGCUCCCACACAGCUGCCAGGUGUGUCCUGGUCACCCCAAAUCCCCUCCCUUCCAGCCUGAGGACAUCAUCCAUCCACAGCAUUAAAGCCAAGGUACUCUUCCCUCACAGGAAUUAAAUCCCAAGCAAUUACCCCCGGAGAUGUUUUAAAAUAAAAGGUUUGAAUGGGAUGAAGUUUGGAGUUUUUUUGGAAGUGAAGAAGUGAUGGAAAGCUUUUACAGAGAGAAGAACGUUUAACUCAGAGCCCUUCAGGCCUAACACUUCCCUUCAGCAAGAGCUCAGCACACAUCCACAGAGGAAAUCCAGCAUUUAAAAGAAGAAAAAGUGACUUUUGCAAUCAAACUCUGAAGCUGACAAGCCCAGAAGCUCUGUCUGGCCGCCCAGGAACCAAAGGAUACUCCCAGGAAUGAGGCACAUUCCCGGCAAACACCCCCAACACAGCAGAGAGGCACCACUGGACCUCGUGUGUGGGGCUGGCAAGGGCUGCCAGAAGGACUCAGCCCCCCGGCAGGGUGGCAGUGGCAGUGACAGCAGCAAAUUCCCGUGGUCUGAAGGCACAACAGAGAGACAAAGGCCAGCAAUGGCCAUGGGAGGUGCAAGCUGAAUUUUGCUCCCUGUGCUGCCACAUCCCAGCAGGAAAUCACCAGGGGGGAUAGAAAUUCUCAGGGUACACAAAAUGCAGCAUCUGUCACUUAAACUCCCACCCCCAGGUAACCACUGACCUGGCCUGGAUCAGUGUCAAACCCAGCCCCAGUUCUCACCUUCAGUCUGCUCCCAGGGCUGUGGCUGCCACAUUCCUGAUGAGGUGACAAAGGCCACUUUGGACAGGGCUCUCUCUGUCUCAGGUGUGGGGCACUGCAAGGACAGCCUGAAACCAGAGCAGAUCCCUCUGGAUAGAAACACUCUGGGGACAGCUGAGGACUUGCCCCACACCACGGGCAGGAACCAGGGACCCUCCAGUCCAGCCUGCUGGGUUUGGCUGCUCAAACACCAAAGGUUUUUGGCAAUGUUGGGAGGAGUUAAGUGGAUUUUCCUGUCCUGAAAGAGAAGAAAAUGGAAAUAAAGUCCAC